rnacentral:rRNA from 1 species
CCUACGCGGGGCAGCAGUGAGGAAUAUUGGUCAAUGGACGCAAGUCUGAACCAGCAAUGCCGCGUGCAGGAUGACGGCUCUAUGAGUUGUAAACUGUUUUUGUACGAGGGUAAACCCCGAUACGUGUCUCGUGUUGAACGUAUCGUUCGAAUAAGCAUCGGCUAACUCAGUGCCAGCAGCCGCGGUAAUACGGAGGAUGCGAGCGUUAUCCGGAUUUAUUGGGUUAAAAGGGUGCGCAGUCGGAUUGUUAAGUCAGCGGUAAAAUCGUGGGGCUCAACCCCAGCCAGCCGUUGAAACUGGGGAUCUAGAGUGUGCGAGAGGUAGGCGGAAUGCGUGGUGUAGCGGUGAAAUGCAUAGAGAUCACGCAGAACCCCGAUUGCGAAGGCAGCAUACCGGGGCACAACUGACGCUCAGGAACGAAAGCGUGGGUAUCGAACAGGAUUAGAUACCCUUGUAGUC